CAGUAAUUUGGACACAAUUGAAGUCAAAUGGAAUUAGAGUUAAACGCCUUUAGCAACAAAGGUGCUGAAAAGAGAAGACUUGGGGGAGGGGUCAUGAACUGCAAGGGCGUGAAGAGGGGAGAGAGAAGUCGUACACAGCCUUCAGGAUUAGAAGCUGGUCCUGCCUACCCUGUUUACCAUUUCCCCGGGCUGAGCCCCAGUCUCAUCAACAGAAGUUUAGAGACACAAAAUGGACUUUCAAAAUAACUCUCCCCCCAGCCCUCCAAGGAGCUGUCUUUAUUAGAGCCAACAAAGAAUGCUGUGGAUAAAUCUCCCUCCUGAUGCAAAAGACUCAAUUCACCUAGGUGACCUGUCCAGACCAGGAGCUUAGUUCUCACUGGGUUCCCAGAAUUGAGUCUGAGAGUGAGGAACUGUGGACCUGGAACAACGGCCGAGCAUCCCCAGCUGAGGAGAGCUGGUUCCUCAGAGCUGUCUGCAUCUUCCUCUGGUCCCAGCUACGCAAGCAUAAUGCACAAAUAUAUUCCCUUUAUUAAAGCAUGAGAGCAGAUAA